rnacentral:rRNA from 1 species
AGCGAACGCUGGCGGCAGGCCUAACACAUGCAAGUCGAACGAACCUUUCGGGGUUAGUGGCGGACGGGUGAGUAACACGUGGGAACGUGCCUUUAGGUUCGGAAUAACUCAGGGAAACUUGUGCUAAUACCGAAUGUGCCCUUCGGGGGAAAGAUUAAUCGCCUUUAGAGCGGCCCGCGUCUGAUUAGCUAGUUGGUUGAGGUAAUGGCUCACCAAGGCGACGAUCAGUAGCUGGUCUGAGAGGAUGAUCAGCCACAUUGGGACUGAGACACGGCCCAAACUCCUACGGGAGGCAGCAGUGGGGAAUCUUGCGCAAUGGGCAAAAGCCUGACGCAGCCAUGCCGCGUGAAUGAUGAAGGUCUUAGGAUUGUAAAAUUCUUUCACCGGGGACGAUAAUGACGGUACCCGGAGAAGAAGCCCCGGCUAACUUCGUG